rnacentral:lncRNA from 1 species
GGGCCGUUUAUUAGCCUGGCGAUGAACUUGUGAGCCGAGAAGCUCAUCCAGAAGGUUGUUAUCAAAAUACUCAAAUUCAAUAACCUUCUCUUCAUGAUCAUGUCCCUCCAAUCUCACAUUCUCUUGUUGAUCAGAAGAAGCAGUAGCUGAAGAAGAAGAUGGUAAAGAAGAAGAGGCCGACAUGUGCGCGUUUCCCAUGGAUGACGCGUAGCUUGGUCCAGGACCUAGAGGUACUUUAGUAUUAUUAUUGUGAUGGUAAUGUCCAUCGUUUGGGAAGUUGAGGAUGGCUUGGUGGCCCCUUAGAGAAAAGGCAGCCCGAUCAUAUGCUCGGGCUGCCUCUUCAGCUGUUUCAAAGGUGCCUAGCCACAGGCGUGACCCGUUCCGGGUAGGGUCACGUAUCUCCGCUGCAUAUUUUCCCCAUGGCCUU